UGGGGAAUAUUGGACAAUGGGCGAAAGCCUGAUCCAGCCAUGCCGCGUGUGUGAAGAAGGCCCUAGGGUUGUAAAGCACUUUAAGCAGGAAAGAAAAGCGCCGAGUUAAUACCUCGAGCGUAUUGACGGUACCUGCAGAAUAAGCACCGGCUAACUUCGUGCCAGCAGCCGCGGUAAUACGAAGGGUGCAAGCGUUAAUCGGAAUUACUGGGCGUAAAGCGAGUGUAGGCGGUUUCGUGUGUCGGAUGUGAAAGCCCCGGGCUCAACCUGGGAAUUGCAUUCGAAACUGCGGAACUAGAAUAUGGUAGAGGAAGACGGAAUUCCACGUGUAGCGGUGAAAUGCGUAGAUAUGUGGAGGAACACCAAUGGCGAAGGCAGUCUUCUGGGCCAAUAUUGACGCUGAGGCUCGAAAGCGUGGGUAGCAAACAGGAUUAGAUACCCUGGUAGUCCACGCCGUAAACGAUGAGAACUAGACGUUGGUUGACAUAGUCGAUCAGUGUCGUAGCAAACGCGUUAAGUUCUCCGCCUGGGGAGUACGGUCGCAAGACUA
rnacentral:rRNA from 1 species